CCUGGCUCAGGAUGAACGCUGACAGAAUGCUUAACACAUGCAAGUCUUUGGCGAAUCUGUGCUUGCACAGGCUAGCCAAGGCGGACGGGUGAGUAACGCGUAAAGAACUUGCCCUGCAGACAGGGAUAACAGACGGAAACGACUGACAACACCUGAUACAGUUGCCGGCACGCAUGUGCCUAGCAAUGAAAAGAGAUGCUGCGGGAGAGCUUUGCGUCCUAUUAGCUUGUUGGCGGGGUAACGGCCCACCAAGGCGAUGAUAGGUAGCCGGCCUGAGAGGGUGAACGGCCACAAGGGGACUGAGAUACGGCCCUUACUCCUACGG
rnacentral:rRNA from 1 species